ACUUUAAGCGAGGAGGAGGCUACAGAUUAAUACUCUAGGAUAGUGGACGUUACUCGCAGAAUAAGCACCGGCUAACUCUGUGCCAGCAGCCGCGGUAAUACAGAGGGUGCGAGCGUUAAUCGGAUUUACUGGGCGUAAAGCGUGCGUAGGCGGCUUUUUAAGUCGGAUGUGAAAUCCCUGAGCUUAACUUAGGAAUUGCAUUCGAUACUGGGAAGCUAGAGUAUGGGAGAGGAUGGUAGAAUUCCAGGUGUAGCGGUGAAAUGCGUAGAGAUCUGGAGGAAUACCGAUGGCGAAGGCAGCCAUCUGGCCUAAUACUGACGCUGAGGUACGAAAGCAUGGGGAGCAAACAGGAUUAGAUACCCUGGUAGUCCAUGCCGUAAACGAUGUCUACUAGCCGUUGGGGCCUUUGAGGCUUUAGUGGCGC
rnacentral:rRNA from 1 species